CAUCCGUAGCCGGUACUGCAAGUCUUCCGUUAAAUCCACCUGCUUAACAGUUGGGCUGCGGGGGAUACUACAGCGCUAGGAGGCGGGAGAGGCAAGCGGUACUCAAUGGGUAGGGGUAAAAUCCGCUGAUCCAUUGAAGACCACCAGUGGCGAAGGCGGCUUGCCAGAACGCGCUCGACGGUGAGGGAUGAAAGCUGGGGGAGCAAACCGGAUUAGAUACCCGGGUAGUCCCAGCUGUAAACGAUGCAGACUCGGUGAUGGGCUGGCCUUGUGCCAGCCCAGUGCCGCAGGGAAGCCGUUAAGUCUGCCGCCUGGGGAGUACGGUCGCAAGACUGAAACUUAGAGGAAUUGGCGGGGGAGCACCAUCAAGGCGGCUGAAGCCCUGCGGUUCAAUUGGAGUCAACGCCGGGAAUCUUACCGGGGGCGACAGCAGAGUGAAGGUCAAGCUGAAGACUUUACCAGACAACGCUGAGAGGAGGUGCAUGGCCGUCGCCAGCUCGUGCCGUGAGGUGUCCUGUUAAGUCAGGUAACGAGCGAGAUCCCUACCUCUAGUUGCUACCAUUACUCUCAGGAGUAGUGGGGCUAAUUAGAGGGACCGCCGCCGCUGAGGCGGAGGAAGGAGGGGGCUACGGCAGGUCAGUAUGCCCCGAAACCCUCGGGCCACACGCGGGCUGCAAUGGUAAGGACAAUGGGUUUCGAUUCUGAAAAGAGGAGACAAUCCCCAAACCUUACCCCAGUUAUGAUUGAGGGCUGAAACUCGCCCUCAUGAUAUG
rnacentral:rRNA from 1 species